rnacentral:lncRNA from 1 species
UGAGAAGCUGUUGAUUUUGACUUAUUAUGGAGAAGGAAGAAGAUAAUCUCUCCACUCUCUCUCAAGCUUCACCGCUUUGAUCAAAGGAGAGUGUCCGCAAUCAAAGUUUGAAGCCGAGUGAACACUGAAAAUCCUUGUUCCAUCAGCGAUCAGGACUCUCUUCAGCAAAGUCCAGCCGAUCCGAGGUCUGGUUGUUUACUCGAGCUCGAAUCACCGUACUUCAAGCUCGCUGUUCUUUGAUUUCCAGAAAAUUCGAAAAUCGUGACUCUGAAUCAAAGCUGAGUUCGCUCAUGUUCUCUAAUUUUUGUUUUUGAUUCAAUUCUUUAAGUUGAUUUUCUGCAUCUCCAUCAUGACCAGAACUUGCUCGACCAAGCUUCCAGCUGCCUCAAUCACCGAAAUAGUUCUUCU